ACUCCUACGGGAGGCAGCAGUGGGGAAUUUUGGACAAUGGGCGCAAGCCUGAUCCAGCAAUGCCGCGUGAGUGAAGAAGGCCUUCGGGUUGUAAAGCUCUUUUGUCAGGGAAGAAACGGCUGUGGCUAAUAUCCACGGCUAAUGACGGUACCUGAAGAAUAAGCACCGGCUAACUACGUGCCAGCAGCCGCGGUAAUACGUAGGGUGCAAGCGUUAAUCGGAAUUACUGGGCGUAAAGCGUGCGCAGGCGGUUUUGUAAGUCUGACGUGAAAUCCCCGGGCUCAACCUGGGAAUUGCGUUGGAGACUGCAAGGCUAGAAUCUGGCAGAGGGGGUAGGAA
rnacentral:rRNA from 1 species